GAUGAACGCUGGCGGCGUGCCUAAUACAUGCCAGUCGAGCGAACAGAUAAGGAGCUUGCUCCUUUGACGUUAGCGGCGGACGGGUGAGUAACACGUGGGUAACCUACCUAUAAGACUGGGAUAACUUCGGGAAACCGGAGCUAAUACCGGAUAAUAUUUCGAACCGCAUGGUUCGAUAGUGAAAGAUGGUUUUGCUAUCACUUAUAGAUGGACCCGCGCCGUAUUAGCUAGUUGGUAAGGUAACGGCUUACCAAGGCGACGAUACGUAGCCGACCUGAGAGGGUGAUCGGCCACACUGGAACUGAGACACGGUCCAGACUCCUACGGGAGGCAGCAGUAGGGAAUCUUCCGCAAUGGGCGAAAGCCUGACGGAGCAACGCCGCGUGAGUGAUGAAGGUCUUCGGAUCGUAAAACUCUGUUAUUAGGGAAGAACAUACGUGUAAGUAACUGUGCACGUCUUGACGGCACCUAAUCAGAAAGCCACGGCUAACUACGUG
rnacentral:rRNA from 1 species